UACGGAGGAUCCGAGCGUUAUCCGGAUUUAUUGGGUUUAAAGGGUGCGCAGGCGGGGGAUUAGGUCGGCGGUGAAAUGUCAGGGCUCAACCUUGAAAGUGCCGUCGAAACCGGUUUUCUUGAGUGCGGAUGAAGUAGGCGGAAUUUGUGGUGUAGCGGUGAAAUGCGUAGAUAUCACAAGGAACACCGAUUGCGGAGGCAGCUUACUAAACCGCAACUGACGCUCAUGCACGAAGGCGUGGGGAUCAAACAGGAUUAGAUACC
rnacentral:rRNA from 1 species